CACGGGUGAGUAACACGUAUCCAACCUGCCGUCUACUCUUGGACAGCCUUCUGAAAGGAAAGAUUAAUACAAGAUGGCAUCAUGAGUCCACAUGUUCACAUGAUUAAAGGUAUUCCGGUAGACGAUGGGGAUGCGUUCCAUUAGAUAGUAGGCGGGGUAACGGCCCACCUAGUCAACGAUGGAUAGGGGUUCUGAGAGGAAGGUCCCCCACAUUGGAACUGAGACACGGUCCAA
rnacentral:rRNA from 1 species